CCUUCGAUAGCUCAGUUGGCAGAGCGGUGGACUGUAGAAUGGCUGAAAAGCAAUGUAGAAAUCCAUAGGUCGCUGGUUCAAAUCCGGCUCGAAGGA
rnacentral:tRNA from 1 species